rnacentral:lncRNA from 1 species
UUUUGAAGAGCAGUUGGUCUCUCAGUCUGGAGAAGUGGAAGAGAGAAGCUUGAAUAAGACUUUCUCCUGAGGGUUACCCACCUUUUUCCUGCUUGUGACUGGAAAUCAUCCCCCCCCCCAACACUUCCCAAUUAAAGAGACUCAGAGAAGAGAAACCUGAGAAAAGACAUUUUUAAUCUUUGUCAGACUUUACUUCAGCUCCUGUUGCCCUGGGUCUGACUGUGGUGAAGGGGCCAAACCCAGGCAUGCUAAAGUUUUGAAGGCAAGGAGAGUUUCAUUUUUGACUUUCUAUCUUCUGCCCAUAGCGGUGUCUGAUUCAUAGAAAAAA